rnacentral:rRNA from 1 species
GAUGAACGCUCGCUCCAGGCUUAACACAUGCAAGUCGCGGGGCGGCAUGGGGGUUGCUUGCAAUCCCCGAUGGCGACCGGCGCACGGGUGAGUAACGCGUAUCCAACCUGCCCUUCACCACGGGAUAACCCGGCGAAAGUCGGACUAAUACCGUAUGUUGUCCAUUGACGGCAUCCGAUUUGGACGAAAGGUUUGGCGGUGAAGGAUGGGGAUGCGUCCGAUUAGCUGGACGGCGGGGUGACGGCCCACCGUGGCGACGAUCGGUAGGGGUUCUGAGAGGAAGGUCCCCCACACUGGAACUGAGACACGGUCCAGACUCCUACGGGAGGCAGCAGUGAGGAAUAUUGGUCAAUGGGCGUAAGCCUGAACCAGCCAAGUAGCGUGCAGGAUGACGGCCCUAUGGGUUGUAAACUGCUUUUAUGCGGGGAUAAAGUGGCCCACGUGUGGGUUUUUGCAGGUACCGCGUGAAUAAGGACCGGCUAAUUCCGUG